rnacentral:rRNA from 1 species
CAGCCGCCGCGGGAAUACGGAGGGUACAAGCGUUAAUCGGAAUUACUGGGCGUAAAGCGCACGCAGGCGGUUUCUUAAGUCUGAUGUGAAAGCCCCCGGCUCAACCGGGGAGGGUCAUUGGAAACUGGGAAACUUGAGUGCAGAAGAGGAGAGUGGAAUUCCACGUGUAGCGGUGAAAUGCGUAGAGAUGUGGAGGAACACCAGUGGCGAAGGCGACCCUCUGGUCUGUAACUGACGCUGAGGAGCGAAAGCGUGGGGAGCGAACAGGAUUAGAUACCCCUGUAGUCCCUGUCUCUUAUAC